GACGAACGCUGGCGGCGUGCUUAACACAUGCAAGUCGAACGGAAAGGCCCUGCUUGCAGGGUACUCGAGUGGCGAACGGGUGAGUAACACGUGGGUGAUCUGCCCUGCACUUCGGGAUAAGCCUGGGAAACUGGGUCUAAUACCGGAUAGGAGCCAUUUUUAGUGUGAUGGUUGGAAAGUUUUUUCGGUGUAGGAUGAGCUCGCGGCCUAUCAGCUUGUUGGUGGGGUAAUGGCUUACCAAGGCGGCGACGGGUAGCCGGCCUGAGAGGGUGGACGGCCACAUUGGGACUGAGAUACGGCCCAGACUCCUACGGGAGGCAGCAGUGGGGAAUAUUGCACAAUGGGCGCAAGCCUGAUGCAGCGACGCCGCGUGGGGGAUGACGGCCUUCGGGUUGUAAACUCCUUUCGCUAGGGACGAAGCUUUUUGUGACGGUACCUAGAUAAGAAGCACCGGCUAACUACGUG
rnacentral:rRNA from 1 species